rnacentral:rRNA from 1 species
UAAUACGUAGGGUGCAAGCGUUGUCCGGAAUUAUUGGGCGUAAAGAGCUCGUAGGCGGCUUGUCGCGUCUGCUGUGAAAACCCGGAGCUCAACUCCGGGCCUGCAGUGGGUACGGGCAGGCUAGAGUGCGGUAGGGGAGAUUGGAAUUCCUGGUGUAGCGGUGGAAUGCGCAGAUAUCAGGAGGAACACCGAUGGCGAAGGCAGAUCUCUGGGCCGCUACUGACGCUGAGGAGCGAAAGCAUGGGGAGCGAACAGG